AGGAGCAUGUGGUUUAAUUCGAUGAUACGCGAGGAACCUUACCUGGGCUUGAAAGUUAGUGACAUUCUGUGAAAGCAGAACUCCGCAAGGACACGAGACUAGGUGCUGCAUGGCUGUCGUCAGCUCGUGCCGUGAGGUGUUGGGUUAAGUCCCGUAACGAGCGCAACCCCUAUCAUUAGUUGCCAUCAGGUCAUGCUGGGGACUCUAAUGAGACUGCCCGCGCAAGCGGUGAGGAAGGUGGGGACGACGUCAAGUCAUCACGGCCCUUACGUCCAGGGCUACACACGUGCUACAAUGGUAGAUACAGCAGGUUGCCACAUGGUAACAUGGAGCUAAUCCCAAAAGUCUAUCUCAGUUCGGAUUGAGGUCUGCAACUCGACCUCAUGAAGCUGGAUUCGCUAGUAAUCGAAAAUCAGCAAUGUUUCGGUGAAUACGUUCCCGGGCCUU
rnacentral:rRNA from 1 species